rnacentral:rRNA from 1 species
GGAUUAGAUACCCUGGUAGUCCACGCCGUAAACGAUGUGUGCUAGCUGUCGGGCUCUUUAGAGUUCGGUAGCGGAGCGAAAGUAUUAAGCACACCGCCUGGGGAGUACGGCCGCAAGGCUAAAACUCAAAGGAAUUGACGGGGACCCGCACAAGCGGUGGAGCAUGUUCUUUAAUUCGAAGCAACGCGAAGAACCUUACCCACUCUUGACAUCUUCCUAGGGACUUUCAGAGAUGAUUGUCUUCGGUUCGGCCGGGGGAAUGACAGGUGCUGCAUGGCUGUCGUCAGCUCGUGCUG